UUCAAUGUCUGAGAAUAAUACAUGGGUGCGCGGAAAUACCAGCUUUAUUAAUUCGAGUGUUGAACAUGAUAUCUCACCACGAGUGAGCGCAGUGAACGAGUGAGAUGUCAUGUUCAACACAAAAAAUAAAUCUGGUAUUUCCAACCACCCAUGUAUUUUUCUGUUUAUUAUA